rnacentral:lncRNA from 1 species
GCCUCUGCCUUCUGAAAAGGAAAAGAAUGAGAGACUAUGUUAUGCUUGCAGUCUUCAUUCUGUGACUACAACUUGAUUUUGUUCUUAUUCUGGUGCUCUGCUGAUUCAGUGCAUUUCUAGAUUUCUACCCCUAGAAGUGACGGAGAUUGGCAUAUUAACUUCUUACAUAGUACUUUAAGAUACUGCCAUUUGUUCUGCCUGCUUCAGAAAACCUCCAGUGCAUUUUUCUGGGUUUCGAAGGGUAUUAAUGCCUCCCGGGAAUGCUUCACUUCUAUCAUUAAUUAAGUUAGCUUCAUUAGGUUAUAAUUGUUGAAUGAACAUAAUCCAGUUUAAAGUCUGCGAGAUUAUAUUCCAAUUCCAACUUGAGUGCAGGUAUCCCAUGACUAAAACCAAACAUCAGCAUCCUAGUAGCAAACAACUAAUGUCUUGGCAGCUUAGAGAAUGAUGAGACAGCAGUUCUGAUAUUGACCACCCAAAAGAGAAGCCCCAUUGUUGGGAAAAUGAGUCUGACUACCAUGUGUUUUUAUGCUUAAUACAGAACUCAGAUGAAGCAGUAAUGAAGUUAGGAAGAACAGGACCACUGGAGCAGUGAUGAAGGCUUCUCAUCAAAAGUCACGAAAUCGAAAACAAAUUUAUGAGAAGCAGGAUGGGCCACUGACUUUACCCCUCCCAAAUCUAGAAGAAUAUGAUUUAUGAUUGAUCCUAUGCCUUUCUAAACGAUUUGAAAAUACAUAGACAUGUUUUGCUUUUACUUGAGAAGUAGAAUUCCUAUGCCCAAGGUAUGGGCUUAAGUGUGCUGCUGCUCUCCCAGGGUCUGCCCCGCCUCCUCCUGAGACCUAGAAAUAGACAUAAUAGACGCUUAUGUCAUUUCUUACUUGCCAAUCAGCCGAUCAAAUGUCUGUUCCAUCACCUUCUGGAUCCCAAGUCGAUCAAUCUCUCUCAUGGAAAAAUACUGGAUGUCAUAAUUCUUUAAAAUAAAACUGGCAAGAUAAAAGGG